UGGUAAUGCCGGAUGCUCCAGUUGAUCGCAUGGUCUUCUGGGAAAGCUUUCGCGGUAUGGGAUGGGGUCGCGUCCUAUCAGCUUGACGGCGGGGUAACGGCCCACCGUGGCUUCGACGGGUAGCCGGCCUGAGAGGGCGACCGGCCACAUUGGGACUGAGAUACGGCCCAGACUCCUACGGGAGGCAGCAGUGGGGAAUAUUGCACAAUGGGCGCAAGCCUGAUGCAGCGACGCCGCGUGAGGGAUGGAGGCCUUCGGGUUGUAAACCUCUUUUAUCGGGGAGCAAGCGAGAGUGAGUUUACCCGUUGAAUAAGCACCGGCUAACUACGUGCCAGCAGCCGCGGUAAUACGUAGGGUGCAAGCGUUAUCCGGAAUUAUUGGGCGUAAAGGGCUCGUAGGCGGUUCGUCGCGUCCGGUGUGAAAGUCCAUCGCUUAACGGUGGAUCCGCGCCGGGUACGGGCGGGCUUGAGUGCGGUAGGGGAGACUGGAAUUCCCGGUGUAACGGUGGAAUGUGUAGAUAUCGGAAAAAAAA
rnacentral:rRNA from 1 species